GUCCCUCCAACCCAAGCAAUCAAAGUAAGGUAGGGUUUUUCCUUCUUCUGAUUUGGGAAUUUCUAGGGUUUAUCUCUGGAAAACCUCUAUCCAUGGCUACCGCAAGCCAUAAAGGAAACCCCACAAAUUCAACCAAGAAAAAGAAAACCCACAAAAAUCCUGAAGCCAAUUUCCUGUAUGAGCUCAAUUCUUGCUCUAAAUCCAAAGACCUCAAAGCCGCAAUUUCUCUUUACGAGUCAGCUAUUUCCAACAAAACUCGCCUCAACCAGCACCAUUUCAACACCCUCCUUUACCUUUGCUCCACUAUUUCCACCGACCCAGAGUCCAAAAGCCUCGCUUUAACGUAUGGGUUUCGAGUUUUUGACCAUAUGAUGACCUUAAAUAUCCACCCCAAUGAAGCUUCGAUUACCGCCAUUGCCCGUUUAGCGGCGGCGAAAGGUGAUGGCGAUUACGCUUUUGAAAUGAUUAAAAAGUUGGGUGAUUAUCGGGUUUCGCCGCGGCUUCGUACUUAUGAGCCUGCAUUGUUUUGUUUUUGCCAGAAGUUGGAAGCUGAGAAGGCUUAUGAAGUUGAGGCGGAUAUAAAAAAGAUGGGAUUGAGCUUGGAGGAGCCUCAGAUUGCUGCUUUAUUGAAAUUAAGUGCCGAGACAGGGAGAGGGGAGAGAGUUUAUGAGUAUUUGCAGAAGUUGAGAAGGAGCGUAAGGUGGGUUAGUGAGGAGACGGGAAAGGUUUUGGUGGAUUGGUUUUCUAGGGAAGGAAGUGAGGUUGGUUUUGGGGGAGUGACGUAUGAGGUGAGUUUUGUGAAAGAGGCAGUUUUGAGGAAUGGUGGGGGUUGGCAUGGUUUGGGGUGGAUUGGGAAAGGGAAGUGGGUGGUGAGGAAAGGGAAGGUGGAGCCGAAUGGGCGGUGUUGUUGUUGUGGAGAGCAGUUGGGUUGUGUUGAUAUUGAUGAUGUGGAGACUGAGAAGUUUGCGCAGUCAGUUGCAGGGUUGGCUAUGGAGAGGGAAGUUAAGGCUAACUUUAGGGAGUUUCAGGAGUGGUUGGAAGAAAAUGCUGAUCAUGAAGCCAUAGUAGAUGGAGCAAAUAUUGGGCUCUAUCAACAAAAUUUUGCAGAGGGUGGAUUCAGCAUUCUUCAGCUUGAUGCUGUCAUAAAAGAAAUGUAUGGCAGAAGUGGGAAUAAAUGGCCACUCAUCAUCCUGCAUAAUAAACGUGUACGAGCCCUUAUGGAAAAUCCUUCCUACAGAAAGCUGGUUGAAGAAUGGACGAAUAAUGGUGUUCUUUAUACAACACCUCAUGGUUCCAAUGAUGACUGGUAUUGGCUCUAUGCUGCUGUAAAACUUAGAUGUCUGCUUGUGACAAAUGAUGAAAUGCGGGAUCACAUUUUUGAACUCUUGGGAAGCAGCUUCUUUCUCAAGUGGAAAGAAAGGCACCAGGUUCAUGCUGUCUGAAAAUCUAAUUGCUUAUAACAUUAUUGUUCUUUGUUUAGUGUGCUUUCAUGUUAAUUGUUGUUAACCUUUCCUGUUCUGAUAGAUGUGGUCAAAAUUGGAUUUGGCAAGAUUUUACAGCAUGAUUUUUACAUUAUUAUUAUUUUUCUGCAUCAUGUAUUGCAUCAGAAAGCUACUUUAUCACAUGAUAGUAUCAUGUGUAACACACUGAAUCUUGCAACUUCACUACUAGGUUCAGCUAGUCUAUGGCACAGUAUAAAACAUGAUAAUUUUCUUAUGAAGUAUUGUUUCGCCUAUGUUCUGCAACAAUGGCCCAAUUCCAUCUUGGAACGUGGAUCGUCAUGCAUGACUUCAUAAAAUUGACUUCUGUUGUAUUUGCAGGUUCGAUAUACUUUUCCCAAAGGAAUUCUGAAACUUCAGAUGCCACCCUCAUAUUCUGUUGUCAUUCAGGAAUCAGAAAAAGGAUCAUGGCAUGUCCCCAUUGUAUGUGACGGCGAUGAGGAGUCUGCUAGAACUUGGCUCUGCAUUAC